CUAGAAAAUUUGCCAGAAAAGAUUCUCUUUGGUGAGGACAUUGUAUUACAAUGUCCUCACCAAAGAGAAUCUUUUCUGGCAAAUUUUCUA
rnacentral:pre_miRNA from 1 species